AUUGAACGCUGGCGGCGUGCCUAAUACAUGCAAGUCGAACGAAGUGGCUCACGGGUGAGUAAUAUAUAGUUAAUCUGCCCUACACAGAGGAACAACAGUUGGAAACGGCUGCUAAUACCUCAUAGUGUAGGAUGAGACUAUAUCGUAUCAGCUAGUUGGUAAGGUAAUGGCUGACCAAGGCUAUGACGCGUAACUGGUCUGAGAGGAUGAUCAGUAACAUUCGAACGGAGACACGGUCCAAACUCAUACGGGAGGGAGCAGUAAGGAAUAUUGCCCAAUGGGGGAAACUCUGACGGAGCAACGCCGCGUGGAGGAUUACACUUUUCGGAGAGUAAACUCCUUUUAUUAGGAAAGCGGUACCUGAUGAAUAAGCACCGGCUAACUCCGUGCCAGCAGCCGCGGUAAUAC
rnacentral:rRNA from 1 species